GGGUAUUUAGCUUAAUUUGGUAGAGCAUUUAGCUUACAACUAAAAUAGUAGUAGUUCAAAUCUAUUAAUACCUA